UCGACCUUAACUUUGUUGCCAGAGCUGAAUAUCAAAACCCCAGACGUGUUUGGAGGUCAAAUUUUAUACAUUAUAUCCAAAAAUGUGUAAUUAUUUGAAAGAUACCGCAUGAACACGUUGUUGCUAUAGGACACUGAAAAAAAAUUGUAAUCAGCUCCUAGACACCCAUGACAUUAUUUUAUCAUAUCCAAGAGGAAUUGGAGAUAGAAACAGCUGUGGAUGUAGCUCUACCCAUUGAAACCAAUCGAGCCUCAAUCUCAUACUGGGACCUUUUCUUUUCUUUUUAUUUUUCUCUCUCCUUCUUCUUCCUACCUUCUUCAUUCUCCAGGGAAACAAGAGGAGCGAGAGGGAAUGGACGUCGUUGCUCCAAUAGCUGAGGAACGACGAUGUCAGUGGCAGAACAUGUUACUUUUUGCUUACAUCGAGGGAAAAAGCAGCUACAAGCAGAGGGAGUUGGGGAGGAAGCCAGAACAGUGAAGGCAAAACUCAGCCCUGGCCGGCAAGGUAGGUGACACUUGACAGUUGUUAAGUACAAUUUUGAUUGCCAACUAGCACAAUUAAUCAAAGAAAAAUUAGCAUUUCUUACAGGUAUACUAAUAAAUAAUGUAGUUGUAUUAGGAUUAGAGAAUUAACAUGGAUGCAGGAAUUAUACACUAAAGUGAAGGAGAAAUGAGGCCGGCAAGCAUUUCUGGCAAAUCACGUGAAAGCACAAAGAUUGAGGGGCCCACAGGUCAGCUCAAACCGACUUGAAAUGGGACUAACCCACUAAAAAUCGACUAAGGAGCCCACCUGUCAUCCCUCACCAAAGUUGGUGGGGAAUGACAGUUGGCCUGGUUCGGCCCAACCCUGGCUGGCGCCGUUCAUCCCCUCCUUCCACAUGGACGCUCUAGAGGCACUCCUAAUGCAGUUACUAUAGGUCGGUGCCCUACAACCGCCUUAAUCAACCGUUAUUGAAGCCUAUUUAAGGGGUGGAACUUCUCACUUCACAACACACACUUCAAGGAGCAAAUUCAGUCUUCCACUUUGUAUUUUCUAUAGUUUCUAGUAGGAAUAAAGCUUAGUCGUCUCGGUGUUCUGGGUGUGCCCCACGGAAAGGGAGGUUGGUAGCAGGUGGUCACAACUCUCUCUGUCCUUUGUAUUCCUUCACGUUCGGGUAUAACAUAAGAUUGCAUAAGCGCCAUAACCACGCUGGCAGACUAGCAGGGAGUGGUCUCUCGGUAGUACCUGGGUGCUUGGAACUAAGUCCUAUGUUGUAAGUAUAUAUAUGUUAAGUGUAUACUAGACAUGAUUAGUAGAGAAGUAUAGAUGAAUCGUAGUUUCCUUAAGCUAUUUCCUACUAGAUAUUCUAUUAGAGGUGAAUCUCCUGUGUGUCCACUACCUUAUCAAUCAUUAUCCUAACCCAUGUUUAGAUUAUAGUAAAUUAAUUAUAGAUUGAUAAAAGAGAUAUAAACAUAUCUUUAUACUGCCGCCUUCCCUUCGGAAAUAUAAAUAGUAUACCCUUGGAAAUACUCAUGGCUGAAAUUCUACAACGGUAUCCAUGCAUCUGUGGAUUUAUCUGUAUUCGUAAUAAAUACCAAUAGUGAUGAUAGAUGCUUGAUAGGGUGGCUAAAGAAACAGGAAACUAGGGAAACAGAGUCACUCUGACAAGGCAAAGCGGGUGGCACGAGUGUUUUGCCAACAAGGACUCAGUGAGGGAGAUCGACUGGCGGCUAGAAUGGUUGAGGGAUCAAGAGAGAGAGAGAGAGAUAGAUAGGGAAGAAGAGGGCUCGGAGAGCUCAGUUGUGGGUAAAAAUGGAGAGCUCUCACUUUCUACGUGCUGCCGUUCUGCGGUGACUUCGGCCACUGUGCCACCUACUCCCUUUCCUGGCUACGGUAAGCCGCCACUCCGUCGCCCCUUCUACCACGAGAGCCCCAUCUGCAAACUUGUCUUUAACGGAUAUUUCUCUCUUCAUUUUAUUUGAAAAUAACAAAAUAAUGCCUUGUGUACCCAUCAGUUAAUUACCAGUUUUCUACAGUGGCCUACAAUAGAUACGUGUUCUUGCGGUGUCCCCUGCUAAUUACAAGUUUUUUGGAUGCUAUAUACCAAAUUUUGCUUUA